AUUGCUUCUCAGCCUUCUGGCUAAGAUCAAGUGUGCAAUAUCUGUAGCUAUUCUAUAACUUGAUUGAUAUGUCUAUCUUUACUCCAAUAUUAGUUUUGAUUACUGUAGUUUUAAAGCAUGUCUUGAAACCCUCCAAUACUGUUCAAGAUAGUCUUG
rnacentral:snRNA from 1 species